GGUCGCAAUUAACUAAUCAAAUUGAGUGAAUUUACUUUAAUUUCUUUUGUAAUUUUAAUUGUGAACAAUAUCUAAUGGUGUAGGAACAAUAAUUCAAGUUCUUUCUUUUUUAUUUAGACUCAAAGAGUACGAGUUUUUUUUUGUUCUACUCGAAAUGUUUUGUUUAUGUUUGUAAUUGAUUCCAAAUUAAAUGGAUUUCCGAUUUUCUAAUUGAUGCCUUAUAAUAAACCAUUUUGGCUACAAGUUGAAUAGUUGUUGAUCCAAUCUCAUUUAUCUUGAAAAUCUUCAACCUAAUUUUUUGUUAAUCGCUUAUAAUUCAUGGAUGGUACAUUCGUUUUGGGCUAAUUGUCCGAUUUUCUCUAUUCAGAAAAGAAAACAAUUUGUAUCCAUUCGUGAUGACAAAAUCUGAUUAAUGUUUUUCGAAUCUCAAUUGGGAGAAUAUGUGAGAGACAAGUGAAACUUGAUCAUUGAAACAUUCGCUAAUCUAGUCACUUAAAUUUCAAUUUUCAUUCUUCUUCUUUCCAUUAAAUGUACGAAAUAAUCUCCUGAAAA